AGACCCGAAACCCGGUGAUCUAGCCAUGGGCAGGUUGAAGGUUGGGUAACACUAACUGGAGGACCGAACCGACUAAUGUUGAAAAAUUAGCGGAUGACCUGUGGCUGGGGGUGAAAGGCCAAUCAAACCGGGAGAUAGCUGGUUCUCCCCGAAAGCUAUUUAGGUAGCGCCUCGUGAAUUCAUCUCCGGGGGUAGAGCACUGUUUCGGCUAGGGGGCCAUCCCGGCUUACCAACCCGAUGCAAACUGCGAAUACCGGAGAAUGUUAUCACGGGAGACACACGGCGGGUGCUAACGUCCGUCGUGAAGAGGGAAACAACCCAGACCGCCAGCUAAGGUCCCAAAGUCAUGGUUAAGUGGGAAACGAUGUGGGAAGGCCCAGACAGCCAGGAUGUUGGCUUAGAAGCAGCCAUCAUUUAAAGAAAGCGUAAUAGCUCACUGGUCGAGUCGGCCUGCGCGGAAGAUGUAACGGGGCUAAACCAUGCACCGAAGCUGCGGCAGCGACACUGUGUGUUGUUGGGUAGGGGAGCGUUCUGUAAGCCUGCGAAGGUGGCCUGUGAGGGUUGCUGGAGGUAUCAGAAGUGCGAAUGCUGACAUAAGUAACGAUAAAGCGGGUGAAAAGCCCGCUCGCCGGAAGACCAAGGGUUCCUGUCCAACGUUAAUCGGGGCAGGGUGAGUCGACCCCUAAGGCGAGGCCGAAAGGCGUAGUCGAUGGGAAACGGGUUAAUAUUCCCGUACUUGGUGUUACUGCGAAGGGGGGACGGAGAAGGCUAUGUUGGCCGGGCGACGGUUGUCCCGGUUUAAGCGUGUAGGCUGGUUUUCCAGGCAAAUCCGGAAAAUCAAGGCUGAGGCGUGACGACGAGGCACUACGGUGCUGAAGCAACAAAUGCCCUGCUUCCAGGAAAAGCCUCUAAGCAUCAGGUAACAUCAAAUCGUACCCCAAACCGACACAGGUGGUCAGGUAGAGAAUACCAAGGCGCUUGAGAGAACUCGGGUGAAGGAACUAGGCAAAAUGGUGCCGUAACUUCGGGAGAAGGCACGCUGACACGUAGGUGAAGUGAUUUACUCAUGGAGCUGAAGUCAGUCGAAGAUACCAGCUGGCUGCAACUGUUUAUUAAAAACACAGCACUGUGCAAACACGAAAGUGGACGUAUACGGUGUGACGCCUGCCCGGUGCCGGAAGGUUAAUUGAUGGGGUCAGCGCAAGCGAAGCUCCUGAUCGAAGCCCCGGUAAACGGCGGCCGUAACUAUAACGGUCCUAAGGUAGCGAAAUUCCUUGUCGGGUAAGUUCCGACCUGCACGAAUGGCGUAAUGAUGGCCAGGCUGUCUCCACCCGAGACUCAGUGAAAUUGAACUCGCUGUGAAGAUGCAGUGUACCCGCGGCAAGACGGAAAGACCCCGUGAACCUUUACUAUAGCUUGACACUGAACAUUGAGCCUUGAUGUGUAG
rnacentral:rRNA from 1 species